rnacentral:rRNA from 1 species
UGCCAGCAGCCGCGGUAAUACGGAAGGUCCAAGCGUUAAUCGGAAUCACUGGGCUUAAAGCGUGCGCAGGCGGUCCGGCAGGCAUCUCGUGAAAUCCCACGGCUCAACCGUGGAACUGCGGGGUGAACCGCCGGACUUGAGGAAGGUAGGGGCCAACGGAACGAUGGGUGGAGCGGUGAAAUGCGUAGAUAUCCAUCGGAACGCCAAAGGCGAGGGCAGUUGGCUGGGCCUUUCCUGACGCUCAGGCACGAAAGCGUGGGUAGCGAACGGGAUUAGAUA